rnacentral:rRNA from 1 species
GUGGGGAAUAUUGGACAAUGGGCGAAAGCCUGAUCCAGCCAUGCCGCGUGUGUGAAGAAGGUCUUCGGAUUGUAAAGCACUUUAAGUUGGGAGGAAGGGCAUUAACCUAAUACGUUAGUGUUUUGACGUUACCGACAGAAUAAGCACCGGCUAACUUCGUGCCAGCAGCCGCGGUAAUACGAAGGGUGCAAGCGUUAAUCGGAAUUACUGGGCGUAAAGCGCGCGUAGGUGGUUUUGUAAGUUGGAGGUGAAAUCCCCGGGCUCAACCUGGGAACUGCCUCCAAAACUGCAUGACUAGAGUACGGUAGAGGGUAGUGGAAUUUCCUGUGUAGCGGUGAAAUGCGUAGAUAUAGGAAGGAACACCAGUGGCGAAGGCGACUACCUGGACUGAUACUGACACUGAGGUGCGAAAGCGUGGGGAGCAAACAGGAUUAGAUACCCUUGUAGUCC